GAUGAGAACGUAGCGAAAUGCGAUAAGUAAUGUGAAUUGCAGAAUUCAGUGAAUCAUCGAAUCUUUGAACGCACAUUGCGCCCGCCAGUAUUCUGGCGGGCAUGCCUGUUCGAGCGUCAUUUCAACCAUCAAGCCCUGCUUGCGUUGGGGUCCUGCGGCUGCCCGCAGGCCCUGAAAACCAGUGGCGGGCUCGCUAGUCACACCGAGCGCAGUAAUACAUCUCGCUUUGGGCGUGCGGCGGGUUCUUGCCGUUAAACACCCCCUUUUUACCAAGGUUGACCUCGGAUCAGGUAGGAAUACCCGCUGAACUUAAGCAUAUCAAUAAGCGGAGGA
rnacentral:misc_RNA from 1 species